GUCCCCCUCAGCUUCACCGGCCCCCUCAGCUUCCCAGGCCCCCUCCCCUUUCCACUCCCCUUCUCAGCCCACCUCUCCUUCUCUUUCUGUGCCCCCUUCUCCUCCUUCCCAGUCCCCUUCUCCUUCUACUUCCAACUCCCCUUCUCAGCCCCCCUCACCCUCUAUUGGACAAACAUUCUCUCCGCCCCCCUCGCCAUCUCAAUCAGACCCACCCUCAGAAAUUACAUCCCCAAUCCCUCCUCCUUACCCCAUCUCUCCUCCUUCCCCAAUCCCUCCUCCUUCACCCAUCCAGACUCCUUCCCCCAUCCCUCCUCCUUCCCCAAUCCCUCCUCCUUCCCCCAUCCAGCUGCCUUCACCACCCAGUGAAUGGGCAGAAGAAGCCCCUGAUGGUCUCAGUGGUGAACAUAAUGUUGCUGAGGAAAAUGUUGCAGUUGGAGAUCCCACAAGUUUUGGGGGAAUUAUUGAAACCAUGCGCCAACACCUGCAUGGGUUAAUUAAUUGUCUGGAUCAGUUACAAAAAUUUGCAUGAUUUUUUUUUUGUUUAAUACAUUUAUUGAUUUCCAAAAAAUUACAAAUAAAAACAAGUUGUUUAAAGUUAA